rnacentral:rRNA from 1 species
AUUGAACGCUGGCGGCAGGCCUAACACAUGCAAGUCGAACGGUAGCACAGAGAGCUUGCUCUCGGGUGACGAGUGGCGGACGGGUGAGUAACGUCUGGGAAACUGCCCGAUGGAGGGGGAUAACUACUGGAAACGGUAGCUAAUACCGCAUAACGUCGCAAGACCAAGUGGGGGACCUUCGGGCCUCACACCAUCGGAUGUGCCCAGAUGGGAUUAGCUAGUAGGUGGGGUAAUGGCUCACCUAGGCGACGAUCCCUAGCUGGUCUGAGAGGGUGACCAGCCACACUGGAACUGAGGCACGGUCCAGACUCCUACGGGAGGCAGCAGUGGGGAAUAUUGCACAAUGGGCGCAAGCCUGAUGCAGCCAUGCCGCGUGUAUGAAGAAGGCCUUCGGGUUGUAAAGUACUUUCAGCGGGGAGGAAGGCGGUGAAGUUAAUAGCUUCACCGAUUGACGUUACCCGCAGAAGAAGCACCGGCUAACUCCGUGCCAGCAGCCGCAGUAA